rnacentral:rRNA from 1 species
AUUGAACGCUGGCGGCAGGCCUAACACAUGCAAGUCGAACGAGUGGCGGACGGGUGAGUAAUGUCUGGGAAACUGCCCGAUGGAGGGGGAUAACUACUGGAAACGGUAGCUAAUACCGCAUAUCAUCGGAUGUGCCCAGAUGGGAUUAGCUAGUAGGUGGGGUAACGGCUCACCUAGGCGACGAUCCCUAGCUGGUCUGAGAGGAUGACCGGCGACCAUGGGACUAAGGUACGGCCCAAACGCCAACAUGAGGCAGCAGUGGGGAGUAUUGCACAGUGGGGGAAACGCUGAUGCAGCGACGCCGCGGGCGGGAUGACGGCCUACCGGUUGUAAACCGCUUUCAGCCAUGACGCGGUAGUGGCAGAAGAAGCACCGGCUAACUACGUGCCAGCCGCCGCGGUAAUAC